CCUACGGGGGGCAGCAGUAGGGAAUUUUCGGCAAUGGGGGGAACCCUGACCGAGCAACGCCGCGUGAACGAAGAAGUUAUUCGUAAUGUAAAGUUCUUUUAACAGGGAAGAAAGAGAAAUUUGACGGUACCUGAAGAAUAAGCUCCGGCUAACUACGUGCCAGCAGCCGCGGUAAUACGUAGGGAGCGAGCGUUAUCCGGAAUUAUUGGGCGAAAAGGGUGCGUAGAUGGCAUAGUAAGUCUUUUGUAAAAAUGCUGGGCUCAACCCAGUAGGGCAAAAGAUACUGCAAAGCUAGAGUAUGACAGAGGCAAGUGGAACUACAUGUGUAGCGGUAAAAUGCGUAAAUAUAUGUAAGAACACCAGUGGUGAAGGCGGCUUGCUGGGUCGAUACUGACAUUGAGGCACGAAAGCGUGGGGAGCAAACAGGAUUAGAUACCCCAGUAGUC
rnacentral:rRNA from 1 species